GGAUUAUGUAGACUUUAUCGCAUUCAUAGCUUGCUGAUAUUUGGCUAUAGUUGGACGUGUUGAAGCUCAGCCAACACAGAUGAUAGCAAUAGACAUGUGUUACCUAAUGUUCUUUAUCUAACUUGGCAAGCAAAGCCAAAGAAUUUAUGUCAGUAAUAAUAUAUCUACAUAAAACAUAAGAUCCAGUAAGGCAUUCUAGCUACCAUUAGCAAAUACAAUCAUCACUCUUUUGUCAUGCUGAUUUACUAUAUAAAGCUAAUAUACUAUGGCGUUCCUCUUUAUUUGUGUGGUAUGAUAUACCCUGGAUACACCCACAAGUGUCCUUUAUCAGUGCUAGUGAAUGGAAUUUUUUUUUAUUUUUGUAUAUUUUGUGUUGCUUUCAUUUCUUAUUUAAUUAAAUGACCUCAUGAAAAAAAUCAAUAUUCAUUAUUCUAUACUCAGAAUAGCAGUUUCACUUUAAUAUGCAGUACGACAUUAAUAUGGUUUGUGAGCACACAGACAUUUUGCAGACGAUAAUAAUAUUUGGAACAUUUUAUUUUGUUUUCAUAGUUAUGCGCAUAGUACUGAUUUAUAUGUACACCUUUAUUGCUUUGUUUUUUUCUUUCUUUCUUUUUUAACGAUUAAUAUUAUUGUUAUUUGCUUUUAUUAUAUUUGACACACAGUCUGAUUUGAUUAUUAUUCUUAUUCUCAUUUUGAGAAGUGAAUUUGAAAAACUGGGUUAUUAUAAUUUAUUUAUUUAUUUAUUUAUUUAUUUAUUUAUUUAUUUAUUUAUUUUAUAAGUUUUAGUGUGGCAAAUGUGUUAUAUAAGCUCACCAUAAGAUUUUCCUCUUCAGAAAACACUCCAGACUGAUGCUGAAAAGGUCAGAAAUGAAAACUAUAGAGAGAGGAAUUGUAAAUGGGUGAAGGUUCACCCAUUCCCCUAUUGCAAUAUCACAUUCUAGUUCAUAUCCCACUGGUUCUGACACGAGGGCGAGCUGGCGAAAUCACUUAGAGACCUGUGUUAUUACAUGACCAUUCUAUCAGGU
ensembl:lncRNA